CAGUCGCCACGGGAAUACGUAGGGUGCGAGCGUUAAUCGGAAUUACUGGGCGUAAAGCGUGCGCAGGCGGUUCGUUAAGACAGAUGUGAAAUCCCCGGGCUUAACCUGGGAACUGCAUUUGUGACUGGCGAGCUAGAGUAUGGCAGAGGGGGGUAGAAUUCCAGGUGUAGCGGUGAAAUGCGUAGAGAUCUGGAGGAAUACCGAUGGCGAAGGCAGCCAUCUGGCCUAAUACUGACGCUGAGGUACGAAAGCAUGGGGAGCAAACAGGAUUAGAUACCCCCGUAGUCCCUGUCUCUUAUAA
rnacentral:rRNA from 1 species